rnacentral:rRNA from 1 species
CAAUAGCGUAUAUUAAAGUUGUUGCGGUUAAAAGCUCGUAGUUGGAUUUCUGCCGAGGACGACCGGUCCGCCCUCUGGGUGAGCAUCUGGUUCGGCCUGGGCAUCUUCUUGGAGAACGUUGCUGCACUUGACUGUGUGGAGCGGUAUCCAGGACUUUUACUUUGAGGAAAUUAGAGUGUUUCAAGCAAGCGCUUCGCUGGAAUACAUUAGCAUGGAAUAAUAGAAUAUGACCUUUGUUCAUUUAUUGGUCCAAUGAGUGGAGGUAAUGAUUAACAGGGACAGUUGGGGGCAUUAGUAUUGCUUUGUCAGAGGUGAAAUUCAUUGAUUAUCGCAAGACUAACUUAUGCGAAAGCAUUUGCCAAGGAU